AAAAACUCAAUUUCUAGGUUUUGAUGUUCAACGUUUGACCGUCCGUUUUAUAUGAAUUUUUUACGAUUAGUAUUUUCAUUACUGUUAGAUGAUAAAACAUAAAUAAUACUUUAUGCAUGACUUAUCUUUUUAAUUUUUUUCAUAUUUUUUUUAAAUAAGACGAACGGUCAAACGUUAGACACGGAAACUCAGGAAUUGAGUUUUU
rfam:Oryza meridionalis cultivar OR44 (W2112) chromosome 8, whole genome shotgun sequence.